rnacentral:sRNA from 21 species
UGUAUCUGAAGCCUGACGAGGAUGAGAACCUCCGGGGGCAGGAGGUUCGACCCGAGCGAAGCGAGAGAACGUUGCGUCAGCAACGGCCCGCAGGGCGAGCCACGCAGUGGCGAGUCAUCCUCUAUCACCGACCA